GUCGAGCGCGGGAAGCAGGCAGAUCCUCUUCGGAGGUGACGCUUGUGGAACGAGCGGCGGACGGGUGAGUAACACGUGGGCAACCUGCCUGUAAGAUUGGGAUAACCCCGGGAAACCGGGGCUAAUACCGGAUAAUACUUUUCGUUGCAUAACGAGAAGUUGAAAGGCGGCUUUUAGCUGUCACUUACAGAUGGGCCCGCGGCGCAUUAGCUAGUUGGUAAGGUAACGGCUUACCAAGGCGACGAUGCGUAGCCGACCUGAGAGGGUGAUCGGCCACACUGGGACUGAGACACGGCCCAGACUCCUACGGGAGGCAGCAGUAGGGAAUCUUCCGCAAUGGACGAAAGUCUGACGGAGCAACGCCGCGUGAGUGAUGAAGGUUUUCGGAUCGUAAAACUCUGUUGUCAGGGAAGAACAAGUGCCGUUCAAAUAGGGCGGCACCUUGACGGUACCUGACCAGAAAGCCCCGGCUAACUACGUGCCAGCAGCCGCGGUAAUACGUAGGGGGCAAGCGUUGUCCGGAAUUAUUGGGCGUAAAGCGCGCGCAGGCGGUCCUUUAAGUCUGAUGUGAAAGCCCACGGCUUAACCGUGGAGGGCCAUUGGAAACUGGAGGACUUGAGUACAGAAGAGGAGAGUGGAAUUCCACGUGUAGCGGUGAAAUGCGUAGAGAUGUGGAGGAACACCAGUGGCGAAGGCGACUCUCUGGUCUGUAACUGACGCUGAGGUGCGAAAGCGUGGGGAGCGAACAGGAUUAGAUACCCUGGUAGUCCACGCCGUAAACGAUGAGUGCUAGGUGUUAGGGGGUUUCCGCCCCUUAGUGCUGAAGUUAACGCAUUAAGCACUCCGCCUGGGGAGUACGGCCGCAAGGCUGAAACUCAAAAGAAUUGACGGGGGCC
rnacentral:rRNA from 1 species